rnacentral:rRNA from 1 species
GUUGGGCCUGCUCGGUGAGAAGAAAAAUUUAACAGCUGCGGUAUUAUAACUGUACUAAGGUAGCAUAAUAAUUUGCCUUAUAAAUUAAGGCUAGAAUGAAUGGUUUGACGAAAAUUAGACUGUCUUUAUUUUAUUUGUUAGAAAUUAAUUUUUAUAGUGAAAAAGCUUGAAUAAUUUAAGGGGACGAGAAGACCCUAUUGAGCUUUAUUUAUUAAUAUUUAAAUAUAAAUAUAUAAUUUAUAUUAUGAAAAUUAUGUUGUAUAUAUAUAUAUAUAUUUAAUUGGAUUUAAUUUUGAUUGGGGUGAUCAAGGAAUAAAGAUAAAGUAACUUCCUUAAAAUUAAUGAUUGUUUUUAUGGAGUAAUAAACCAAGUUUUUUGCUUAUAAGAUAAGUUACCAUAGGGGUAACAGCGUAAUUUUUUUUGAGAGUUCAUAUUGAAAAAAGAGAUUGCGACCUCGAUGUUGGAUUAAAAAUUACCUUAAGG